AGCGAACGCUGGCGGCAGGCCUAAUACAUGCAAGUCGAGCGCACCUUCGGGUGAGCGGCGGACGGGUGAGUAACGCGUGGGAACGUGCCCUUUGGUACGGGAUAACUGAGGGAAACUUCAGCUAAUACCGUAUGUGCCCUACGGGGGAAAGAUUUAUCGCCAUUGGAGCGGCCCGCGUUGGAUUAGGUAGUUGGUGAGGUAAAGGCUCACCAAGCCUACGAUCCAUAGCUGGUCUGAGAGGAUGAUCAGCCACACUGGGACUGAGACACGGCCCAGACUCCUACGGGAGACAGCAGUAGGGAAUCUUGCGCAAUGGGCGAAAGCCUGACGCAGCCAUGCCGCGUGAAUGAUGAAGGUCUUAGGAUUGUAAAAUUCUUUCACCGGGGAAGAUAAUGACGGUACCCGGAGAAGAAGCCCCGGCUAACUUCGUGCCAGCCGCCGCAGUAAUAC
rnacentral:rRNA from 1 species